GUCCACGCCGUAAACGAUGCGUGCUAGACGUUGGGGCUUGCCCUUCGGUGUCGUCGCUAACGCAUGAAGCACGCCGCCUGGGGAGUACGGUCGCAAGAUUAAACUCAAAGGAAUUGACGGGCCCGCACAAGCGGUGGAGCAUGUGGUUUAAUUCGAAGCAACGCGCAGAACCUUACCAGCCCUUGACAUGGGCGUCGCGGGGUCGAGAGAUUGGCCCCUUCAGUUCGGCUGGACGCCACACAGGUGCUGCAUGGCUGUCGU
rnacentral:rRNA from 1 species